UAUAAGGCAAAUUAAAACCAGAUAUUUUUUUAAAUAACUCUUUUAGAGAAAAAAUAUCAUAAAUGCACAGUUGUUGAAAAAACUUCUCUUUUUUAUUUUAAUAUUUUUACAUAAAAUAAUAAACCACGAAUGCGCAGAAUGUAUCUUACAAUAAUCUUAGAAAAUCGGUGAACCAGUCUAUUAUCUGAUUACCCGGUUAUGACACGUACGGGUCAGAUGCAAGCGUCCAGUAGACUAGGGAUAUCGAGGUCAACACGCUGGCGGUUGGGGAAAGAUAUAGGCGAGUGUGCGGUCAAGGUCAAAAUUGCGAGAGGGUGAUUCGAAGUGAAAUACCGCAACAAAAACGUUCGAUUUGGACAUUAACGCGUCUAACUGAAUGAGUCACAACGUUUCUACCACAAGAGUUGUAAAUAUUGAACAGAAAGGGCUUCAUCUUCAAGAUGAAAACUGCAAAAAAU